rnacentral:lncRNA from 10 species
AUGUUUGGGCCCAGCUCAGGGUUCAGUGAACGGGUGCGGGUUGUUUUGGUCAUGGAUGGACAGUGAGAGCUCUUGAUUGGGACUGGAUUUCUUCUGCUGCAGGGGUGAAUUGCUCGUCUGUUAGCCAGCCGCCCUCCAGCUCCAGAGUGUGGCCUCAGAACUCCCUGGAUGACGCCUCACCUCCUGGCCAGAUGGUGAAUGGGGCUCUGUGUGGAGGGGAUGCAGUCUGGGCAGAGCAGGCAAAGCUGGGAGGCAAGUGGCAUGUUCCUUGGGAUGCUUCCCCCACCAACUCACAGACCUGGGCUGCUGGGAGAGGCAGCCCCAAAUGCUAUUUGACCCUUCCUUUUGCUGGAACUGCAUCUUCUGGAGAUCUGUUCACCACAGACAAAUCCAUUGGCAGGUGUCCGGAAGGAAGCAAUAUAGAACAAGCAGCCCUGUGCCAGGGCCGUGUCUGUGAAGCAGAGCGGUAUGAUGCAGAAGUUUGUCAUCUUCAAGAAUCCCUGUCCUGGCGCACCUAGCCUGGUGACCUCUGCCAAGUGACUUGUUUCCUUCAAGCUUCCAUGUCUUCACCUCUACGGUGGAGAGACUGAGCUAAUAACUGUCUUCCACCUGCAAGAUGGAGGUGAGGACCACAUAGGAGCUGGCACGUAAUGGAUUUAGCAUAGUGCCUGGAUUAUGGUGAAGUGCAACAAGCUUAGCCACUCUUGAGUUUUGAGGGACACACCACACAUGCAUGAACAUAUGAAGGUGGUAUAAGAACCAAUAAGUGCACAGGUGAAUAAAUGCUGCAGGAGUUCAAAGCAGGGAGAGAGGGCUUCCCUAGGGUUCCAGGGAGGGCAGGCAUUCUGGUGAUUUGAACUGGGCCUCAAAAGAGGAUUCCAUUGAAAGGAAGGUGAAGACAAACCUAGCAUGUUCUUCUCAAAGCUUGGGAAGAGAUCUAUGCAUCAUAUACCCACUGCCUUUGUUUUAGAUGUUGAAGGCCUUGAGCAAAGUCAUAUGUCAAAUUAGUAGCAGAGCUGGGGCUAGAGGCAGUGACUUCUCUUGUACUUUUUCCAUCACACCUUGCUGGCCAUUGGAAUUUCUCUUAGUCACUAUGCGUUUGUUUGCAAGUGACAGGAAAAAAACUCAGUUCACACCGGCUUAAGCAGAAAAGCAAAGAAAAACAACAGCAGCAGCAUCCCAACAAUAACAGAGAAGAGAACGUACUGACUUCUCCCUUGGACAGACUCUCCCACGGGGGCUCCUGGCAUCUCCAAGCUUACCUGCUUCCAGCCUCACAUCCAGGAGAAGGAAAGCAUCUCGCUCCCUUCAAACAAUCCCAUGUCAAACAAUCAAGUCUCACCAGCCUGGUUGUGCUCACGGGCCUCCCAAACCAAUCACUGUGGCGAGAGUUUUAUUUAUUUAUUUUGUUGUACUCUGAUUGGCCAGACUUCGACCACCCGCUCACCCUUGGAGUCUUCAGAAUGACACGGUCUGGGGUGUUCUUACUGGUAGAAGAGGGAGUGGCUUCUGGGCAGACAAAAACAGCAGUGCCCAUUCAGUGUGGUCACAAGGUUUACACACUUCUUGUGGAGAAGGAGCAGGAGAGGGACCACCACCAAGAGGUUAAGCCUGAGUUUGGUCUUCUGUUACUUGGAACUGAAAUAAUGUGCAUUGACACACCUAACAAGUCAAAGUAUUGUCUUUUGCUGGUCUGCUCUGGUCCUGGAAACAUCCACUGAUAGAAUCACUGGUCUGGGACAAAUUGUGGUACCCAAAGACCUCAGGAAGCACUUAGAAGCAUUACUCCUGAAGUCCCAUUCGUCCCAAGAAGAGUUGCUGGCUGGAGGAGACAAUAUGUAAACAUGUCAUGACAAGAUGGUGUGGUGAGUGCUAUGUUGGCAUGUUGGAGGCAAGCAUAGCCAUGCUCACAGUGAGGAAUGACUUAGGAGCGCAACCACAGCCCCAUGCUACCUUCCACCAUUUGGAUAAAAGAAGGAAAAUGCCUUCAAAUUGCGAUCCAUCAAGUCUGAGAUAAUCUGUUAUGGCAACGUAAGAAGCUAAUACAAGAUGCAGGAGUGAAGCAGCGAGGUCUGGAAAAAAGCUAUUGCAAAAAUACAGUCUCAGCAAGGGGAUAGAAGGAGCCCUGCAUUCUCUCCUGACACGCUUGACAAAAACAAACCCAACUAGAGGUCGCCAGCAACGGAGGGGCAUCCUGUGUAAGGACUUGGAAGAGGAGUUGUAUUGUCACCCCCUGGCCACUAGAGGACUUCAUCCUAUUUCAGUGGAGGAAGGCCUGUUAGGGGCCUCUCUAUACUGGUGGAGGUUUGGUCGUCUUCCCUUCACUUGAUUUCUGCCAGUGGCCUUAUGUGAGGAUGCUUCAUGAGAUGUCAAGUAUCCGAGGAGUCUGUGACACAACCAUCCAGUGGUGAAUUGCUAAGGAGCUCCUCUCCAGCCUGCUUGACUCUGAGGUUAAAAGAGUCUUCAUGUUGAGCACAAGUCAUCUCUUUGCACUUUCACCAGUUGUGUCCAUCUGAAAAACACAGAGGUCUGUCUCACUUCUGCAUCACAGUCCCUUCCAAGAAGCUCCACAAUGGCUUUCUUCCUGAGAGGGUUCCUAACUUCUCUGAAGUCAAGUUGAGCGUCCACAUCUAAAGCCCCAGGAUGAGCCUCCUGGUGGAGGAGAGUGCUCCUGCCUCUCCUGCCUCUCUUUAUGGAUUGUAUGUCAAGGAGACACCCGCAAGGACUCUGGUGGCCUGGACAUACUUCUGGAAGACUGACUCUUCCAGACUGAUGAAACCAAAG